CCGCUUCUCAACUAGUGUAGAUGGAAUCUUCGCAGCGGGAGACUGCCGUCGAGGCCAGUCCCUUGUGGUUUGGGCCAUCUCUGAAGGACGGCAAGCAGCUGCUCAGGUGGACAAGUAUCUCUCAAAGGAAGACAAGAACCUUCCUGUAGGUGAAGGAGGCUAUGAAGGCGUUGGUGAAAGCUCCCAAGAUUACAACAAUAGGCAACAGGAUAGUAGUAGUAGCAGCAGACAUACAGUAAUGACAUAGG
rnacentral:misc_RNA from 1 species